rnacentral:rRNA from 1 species
CCCUUAGAUGUUCUGGGCUGCACGCGCGCUACACUGAUGCGCUCAACGAGUUUUGCCCUUGCCCGGUAGGGUUGGGUAAUCUUUUCAAAACGCACCGUGAUGGGGAUAGAUUAUUGCAAUUAUUAAUCUUCAACGAGGAAUUCCUAGUAAGUGCGAAUCAUCAGUUCGUGCUGAUUACGUCCCUGCCCUUUGUACACACCGCCCGUCGCACCCACUGAUUGGAUGACUCGGUGAAAAAUUGGGGCUAUGAGAGAUACUGCUUAAUUGCGGCAUUUUUUAUGGGAACUUUUUUAAACCUCGUUAUCUAGAAGAAGGUGAAGUCGUAACA